rnacentral:rRNA from 1 species
CCUACGGGGUGCUGCAGUGGGGAAUAUUGGGCAAUGGGCGCAAGCCUGACCCAGCAACGCCGCGUGAAGGAAGAAGGCUUUCGGGUUGUAAACUUCUUUUCUGAGGGACGAAGAAAGUGACGGUACCUCAGGAAUAAGCCACGGCUAACUACGUGCCAGCAGCCGCGGUAAUACGUAGGUGGCAAGCGUUAUCCGGAUUUAUUGGGUGUAAAGGGCGUGUAGGCGGGAAAGCAAGUCAGAUGUGAAAACUCAGGGCUCAACCCUGAGCCUGCAUUUGAAACUGUUUUUCUUGAGUGCUGGAGAGGCAAUCGGAAUUCCGUGUGUAGCGGUGAAAUGCGUAGAUAUACGGAGGAACACCAGUGGCGAAGGCGGAUUGCUGGACAGUAACUGACGCUGAAGCUCGAAAGCGCGGGUAUCGAACAGGAUUAGAUACCCUUGUAGUC